UGAUCAUCAGAGGAAACUGAUAAAGCUGCUUCCUCUCAGGUCACAGAUGUGCGUUACACACCUUGGGAAACUGUCUCCGUGUCAGUAAGGGGCUUCAGUCUUUUAAACCAGAAGAGGUUUAAAGCCAAAGUGUUUGGAUACCCUCAGUGGUCAGAUGAUCAUCUCGUGGUGAUCCCAUUCCCCACCUGUUACAGUGGUGGACUUGGAGAAGGAAAUCCCAUGCAUGGAUUUCUGCGAUGCAAAUUUACCACCAGCAUCCAGACAAACUGGUUCCAGGCUGUCCAUAUCUACCAUUGUGGACUCCAUGUGUUGUUUAGGCCAAAAGGCCGAAGAAACUCUGGGACUCAUAGGAGCAAAUAGGCUUCAUGAUGUCCUGACAAAAAAUAAUAUGUUCAACAGGAAAAAAAUUGUUGGGAACAUCCUUGGAGAAAUAAGGCAUGUUCCAAAGAUUUGUUCUGCCAAGAGUCCUGCAGGUCCUGACAACCUCGCUUCCGCCCUUUGGAGGAGAGAGAGUGAUCCUGCCUUGUCCAUGUCCG
ensembl:lncRNA